rnacentral:misc_RNA from 1 species
UUUCCGUAGGUGAACCUGCGGAAGGAUCAUUACAGAGUCCAUGCCCGAAAGGGUAGACCUCCCACCCUUGUGUAUUAUUACUUUGUUGCUUUGGCGAGCGCAAGCUCGCCGGAGAAUACCAAAACUCUUUUUAUUAAUGUCGUCUGAGUACUAUAUAAUAGUUAAAACUUUCAACAACGGAUCUCUUGGUUCUG